rnacentral:rRNA from 1 species
GAUGAACGCUGGCGGCGUGCCUAAUACAUGCAAGUCGAGCGAACAGACGAGGAGCUUGCUCCUCUGACGUUAGCGGCGGACGGGUGAGUAACACGUGGAUAACCUACCUAUAAGACUGGUAUAACUUCGGGAAACCGGAGCUAAUACCGGAUAAUAUAUUGAACCGCAUGGUUCAAUAGUGAAAGACGGUGUUGCUGUCACUUAUAGAUGGAUCCGCGCCGCAUUAGCUAGUUGGUAAGGUAACGGCUUACCAAGGCAACGAUGCGUAGCCGACCUGAGAGGGUGAUCGGCCACACUGGAACUGAGACACGGUCCAGACUCCUACGGGAGGCAGCAGUAGGGAAUCUUCCGCAAUGGGCGAAAGCUUGACGGAGCAACGCCGCGUGAGUGAUGACGGUCUUCGGAUCGUAAAACUCUGUUAUUAGGGAAGAACAAAUGUGUAAGUAACUAUGCACGUCUUGACGGUACCUAAUCAGAAAGCCACGGCUAACUACGUG